rnacentral:rRNA from 1 species
ACAAGCGGUGGAGCAUGUGGUUUAAUUCGAUGAUACGCGAGGAACCUUACCUGGGCUCAAAUGUAUGUUGACGUAUUCUGAAAGGGAUACUUCUUCGGACAAUAUACAAGGUGCUGCAUGGUUGUCGUCAGCUCGUGCCGUGAGGUGUCGGGUUAAGUCCCAUAACGAGCGCAACCCCUAUCAUUAGUUGCCAUCAGGUCAAGCUGGGGACUCUAAUGAAACUGCCUACGCAAGUAGUGAGGAAGGUGGGGAUGACGUCAAAUCAGCACGGCCCUUACGUCCAGGGCUACACACGUGCUACAAUGGCCGAUACAGAGGGCAGCUACCUGGUGACAGGAUGCAAAUCUCCAAAGUCGGUCUCAGUUCGGAUCGGAGUCUGCAACCCGACUCCGUGAAGUUGGAUUCGCUAGUAAUCGCGCAUCAGCCAUGGCGCGGUGAAUACGUUCCCGGGCCUU